CCAGCACCUAAUCCACACAACCAGACAACUUCUGAAGUUACUGAUGGAGCCAGUGAAGACGCUGUGGACCGCCAAAGUGAUGACGUGGUUGUUGCCACAACACCCGAUCCCCACAACCACACCACAUCUGCCAAUACUGAAGCUGGUGAUGGAGCAAGUGAAGAUGCUGUGGCUACCACCCCAGCACCAAAUCCCCCAACUACAUCU